UACGUAGGUGGCAAGCGUUAUCCGGAUUUACUGGGUGUAAAGGGCGCGUAGGCGGGGAUGCAAGUCAGGUGUGAAAUCUAUGGGCUUAACCCAUAAACUGCACUUGAAACUGUAUUUCUUGAGUGUCGGAGAGGUAGACGGAAUUCCUAGUGUAGCGGUGAAAUGCGUAGAUAUUAGGAGGAACACCAGUGGCGAAGGCGGUCUACUGGACGAUAACUGACGUCGAGGCACGAAAGUGUGGGGAGCAAACA
rnacentral:rRNA from 1 species